rnacentral:rRNA from 1 species
CCGGUUGAUCCUGCCGGCGGCCACUGCUAUCAGGUUUCGAUUAAGCCAUGCGAGUCAAGGGGUCGUAAGACACCGGCAUACCGCUCAGUAACACGCGGAUAAUCUACCCCCAGGUGAGGUAUAACCUCGGGAAACUGAGGAUAAUCCCUCAUAGUUAUCAUAUGCUGGAAUGCUUUGAUGACGAAAGCCUUUACGCCUGAGGAUGAGUCUGCGGCCUAUCAGGUCGUAUGUGAUGUAGGGGACCACAUAGCCUAGGACGGGUACGGGCCCUGAAAGGGGGAGCCCGGAGAUGGGCUCUGAGACACAAGUCCAGGCCCUACGGGGCGCAGCAGGCGCGAAAACUGUGCAAUGCGCGAAAGCGCGACACGGGAAACCUGAGUGCCUUGACAAUGUCAAGGCUUUUCUUAAGCCUAAAAAGCUUAAGGAAUAAGAGCUGGGCAAGACGGGUGCCUGCCGCCGCGGUAACACCCGCAGCUCGAGUGGUGGUCACUUUUAUUGAGCCUAAAGCGUUCGUAGCCGGUUUUGCAAAUCUUCAGAUAAAUUCCUCUGCUUAACAGAUGGUCUUCUGAAGAGACUGCGGGACUUGGGACCGGGCGAGGUUGAAGGUACUUCCGGGGUAGGGGUAAAGUCCUGUAAUCCUGGAAGGACGACCGGUGGCGAAGGCGUUCAACUAGAACGGAUCCGACGGUGAGGAACGAGGGCUAGGGUAGCAAACCGGAUUAGAUACCCGGGUAGUCCUAGCUGUAAACACUGCCCACUUGGUGUUGCCCCUCCGAUGAGGGGAGGCAGUGCCGGAGCGAAGGUGUUAAGUGGGCCGCUUGGGGAGUAUGGUCGCAAGGCUGAAACUUAAAGGAAUUGGCGGGGGAGCAC